CCUGAUCCUAGAUCAGCACUCCUGCUCUGAGAUGCUUUGUGGUUAUGAGUCCUGGUCCUAUACAGCCACAGCUCUGGGAGCAGUUUUCUAGUUCUCUGUUAUACAUUGAACAAAAAUAUAAACGCAACAUGUAAAGUGUUGGUCCCAUGUUUCAUGAGCUGAAAUAAAAGAUCCCAGACAUUUUCCAUACGCAAAAAAAAGCUUAUUUAUCUCUGAUUUUGUGCACAAAUUUGUUUACAUCCAUGUUAGUGAGCAUUUCUCCUUUGCCAAGAUAAUCCAUUCACCUGACAGGUGCGGCAUAUCAAGAAGCUGAUUAAACAGCGUGAUCACAAGGUGCACCUUGUGCUGGGGACAAUAAAAGGCAGUUUUGUUACACAACACAAUGCCACAGAUGUCUCAAGUUUUGAGGGAGCGUGCAAUUGGCAUGCUGACUGCAGGAAUGUCCACCAGAGCUGUUGCCAGGGAAUGUAAUGUUCAUUUCUCUACCAAUGUUGUUUUAGAGAAUUUGGCAGUAUGUCCAACCAGCCUCACAACCGCCGAUCACGUGCAACCACGCCAGCCCAGGACCUCAACAUCCGGCUUUUCACCUGUGGGAUCGUCUGAGAUCAGUCACCCAUCACCCGGACAGCUGAUGAAACUGAGGAGUAUUUCUGUCUAUAAUAAAGCCCUUUUGUGGGGAAAAACGCAUUCUGAUUGUCUGGGCCUGGCUCCUCAGUGGCUGGGCCUGGCACCCCUGCCCAGUCAUGUGAAAUCCAUAGAUUAGGGCUUAAUGAAUUUAUGUCAAUUGACUGAUUUCCUUAUAUGAACUGUAACUCAGUAAAAUCUUUGAAAUUGUUGCGUUUAUAUUUUUGUUCAGUAUACUUAGGGCCAGGAGUUUUCCCUGACCGUGUGACCUGACUGGGACAAACUCCAGGCCCCUACUAGUAAUAGUUGUAGGCUAUUUGCUUUAUGACAGCAUUUAAUUAGGGCCCAGAGUUUUUCCUGCAUGUUCAGGUGAUGUGGUGAGGAACACUACGAUGAUAGAUAUCUGUCAAAAUGUUGUAAAUUAAUGAAAUAUAUUGACAGAAAUGUAUCUCCAUAAAAAACUCCUGGCCCUAAUCAUGCUAUCAGCUCUAUACGUAAUAUGAAUACAGGCAGUCUGAUGAUAUUUACAUGGUAUAUACAGAUUAACACUUCAACAUACUGUUGCUUUAGAGAGUGUGACCAAAUCUCAAAUGACAGUGUCUCACUAUUCCAGCGCACUACUUUUGACCAGAGCCAACUUACCCUUUGAAGAACCCUUUUUGGUUCUUCAAAGGGUUCACCUAUGGGGACCACCGAGGAACCUUUUUUGCACAUUCUUUUCUAACAGUGUAUGUAGAAGUAGUGCACUAGAUAGGGAAUAGGGUGUCAUUUGAGAUCAAGUCUUACAAAUUAUAUUUCAGUUUGUUUGUUUGUUUGUUUGUUUAGCAUCAUGAUGACCAGAUGGUUGGUAACAGCUUGUUAUGUGGCAGUUUGAUGUCGACGCAGAAACAAGAUAUAAAACACAAACUGGCAAGUGGGCAUUUCUUUCUGUCCCCUCUCUGUCUCUCUCUUUCUGUCUCUCUCUCUCUGUCUCUCUCUCUUUCUGUCUCUCUCUCUCUCUCUCUCUCUUUCUGUCUCUCAGACUUGUAUUGUUCUGUGGGGAGUUUGUGGAGAGCUUUAAGUGUUCUCCAU
rnacentral:lncRNA from 1 species